rnacentral:rRNA from 1 species
GAUGAACGCUGGCGACGUGCUUAACACAUGCAAGUCGAACGAAGCACUUUAUUUGAUUUCCUUCGGGACUGAUUAUUUUGUGACUGAGUGGCGGACGGGUGAAUAACGCGUGGGUAACCUGCCUUGUACAGGGGGAUAACAGUUGGAAACGGCUGCUAAUACCGCAUAAGCGCACAGCAUCGCAUGAUGCAGUGUGAAAAACUCCGGUGGUAUAAGAUGGACCCGCGUUGGAUUAGCUAGUUGGUGAGGUAACGGCCCACCAAGGCGACGAUCCAUAGCCGACCUGAGAGGGUGACCGGCCACAUUGGGACUGAGACACGGCCCAAACUCCUACGGGAGGCAGCAGUGGGGAAUAUUGCACAAUGGGCGAAAGCCUGAUGCAGCGACGCCGCGUGAGCGAAGAAGUAUUUCGGUAUGUAAAGCUCUAUCAGCAGGGAAGAUAAUGACGGUACCUGACUAAGAAGCACCGGCUAAAUACGUG